UAGAUGAUUCUGAUCCCUUCUUCUCCAAAGGGCCAGAAAUAAUCAGCAGCACAGGGUGUGAGAUCUACUGGAAAGAUGGUAAAGAGCUCACCCUGAAAACCCUGAAGCUGCAGAAAUGUGAGGGCCCUGAAGGUGUCGCACCAACCUCUAGGAAGGUGCCCAGCUAUUCUUUCUUCACCUACUUCUCUCCUCCCUGGGGGUAGAGUACUGGAUGUGGCUACUGAGUAUAAAUUGGGUUAUUUUUUUCCGUGAAGUUCCGGUCCCAAAGUCUGUAUUAUACUUCACGAAAGAAGCGAGUGAUUAUCAGUAUGAAGAGUCUGAUGAAGAGGUCCAAGAAGCUGAAGGUGAGGAGGAGGACAGCGAUAAAAAACCAGAAGAAGGACCUGGAAAGGACCUGGACCCAGCAGAGGACAGCCCGGGAGAACCCAGGCCUAGACUCUGCUGCUGAUUUUAAGUUGGGAUAUUUUUCCCACCAACUUUUGACCCCAAAGUCUGCAUCAUUCUGCCCUAAUGAUGAGGGUGAGGAUCAGUAUGAAAACUCUGAUGAAGAGGAAGAGGAUGGAAAUGAAAAACCUGGAGAAGGACUCUAAAUGGAUGUGGUCUCAGCAAAGGGCAGCUCUGGAUAAUACAGUGGGAAGGCAUAGAAAGAAGGAGACAGCAAAAGAAAAGAUGAAUUUGUUCUUCACGGAUAUUCUUGUUUUCAUUAGCCUAAAAUACUGAUUUUGUUUCAAGGUUUCAACACCCCAAAGUGAUAUUAACUACUGACAUCUGACUUUACUCUUACCUUUUACAGAUAAUUUGAUAGUAUUGUUCACAUUGGAAAUAAAAGCUUGUUUGAAAGUAAUAAGCUGUAGUUU
ensembl:lncRNA